GAUGAACGCUGGCGGCGUGCCUAAUACAUGCAAGUCGAGCGAACAGACGAGGAGCUUGCUCCUCUGACGUUAGCGGCGGACGGGUGAGUAACACGUGGAUAACCUACCUAUAAGACUGGGAUAACUUCGGGAAACCGGAGCUAAUACCGGAUAAUAUAUUGAACCGCAUGGUUCAAUAGUGAAAGACGGUUUUGCUGUCACUUAUAGAUGGAUCCGCGCCGCAUUAGCUAGUUGGUAAGGUAACGGCUUACCAAGGCGACGAGGCGUAGCCGACCUGAGAGGGUGAUCGGCCACACUGGAACUGAGACACGGUCCAGACUCCUACGGGAGGCAGCAGUAGGGAAUCUUCCGCAAUGGGAGAAAGCCUGACGGAGCAACGCCGCGUGAGUGAUGAAGGUCUUCGGAUCGUAAAACUCUGUUAUUAGGGAAGAACAAAUGUGUAAGUAACUAUGCACGUCUUGACGGUACCUAAUCAGAAAGCCACGGCUAACUACGUG
rnacentral:rRNA from 1 species